UAGAACCCCAAGUUGAACUUAGAAGGAGCAAGAGACCUAGAAUAGAGAAAAACCUAGGAGAUGACUUCUACACAUUCCUUGUUGAAGAUAAACCUUUGACUUAUGCUGAAGCAAUGAAAUCUAGUGAUGCACCUCUAUGGGAGGAAGCCAUUAAAAGUGAGAUGGAAUCAAUCCUUUCACACAAUACAUGGGUGUUAACCGACUUACCUCCAGGGUCUAGACCACUAGGGUGCAAAUGGGUCUUUAAAAGGAAACAAAAUCCUGAUGGAUCCAUUGAAAAAUACAAAGCUAGAUUAGUUGCUAAAGGUUUUAGUCAAAGAGAAGGAAUGGACUAUUUUGACACUUAUUCUCCAGUCACUAGGAUAACUACAAUUCGAGUGCUUAUAGCAUUGGCAGCAUCAUAUAAACUUGAAAUCCAUCAGAUGGAUGUAAAAACUGCCUUUCUUAAUGGCGAGUUAGAUGAAGAAAUUUAUAUGGAGCAGCCAGAAGGUUUUGUAGUUUCUGGUCAAGAGAAUAAAGUGUGUAAGCUAGUCAAAUCCUUAUAUGGAUUAAAACAAGCUCCUAGACAGUGGCAUGAAAAGUUUGACCAAGUCAUUUUAUCAUAUGGCUUUAAUAUUUGUGACUUCGAUAAAUGUGUAUAUUGGAAAAUAUUUGAUAGGUCUAUUAUUAUCCUAUGUUUAUACGUAGAUGACAUUUUAAUUUUUGGUAGUGAACAUGUCACAAUUUUUGAAGUAAAGAAAUACUUAAGUGAUAAUUUUGACAUGAAAGAUCUAGGGUUAGCUAAAGUAAUCUUAGGAAUCAAAAUUAGAAGGACACAAAAUGAGAUUGUUCUAAGUCAAUCUCACUAUGUUGAAAAAGUGUUAAAAAAAUUUGGGUACGAAAAUUACAAGCCAGUUAGCACCCCAUAUGAUCCUAGCAUAAAAUUAAAGAAAAAUAGUGGGGAUAGUGUUUCCCAAUUAAGGUAUUCUCAAUUAAUUGGAAGUCUUAUGUAUUUAUCUAACUGUACAAGACCAGAUAUCUCCUAUGCUGUAGGAAGACUAAGUAGAUACACUAGUAAUCUCGAUAAAACACAUUGGAAUGCAAUAGAAAGGCUUCUUAAAUAUUUGAAGGGUACCAUUAACUACGGGAUAUACUAUUCUGGUUUUCCUACUGUACUAGAAGGGUAUAGUGAUGCUAACUGGAUUUCUGAUUCCGAAGACACAAAGGCCACUAGUGGAUUUGUCUUUACACUAGGUGGUGGUGCAGUCGCUUGGAAAUCUUCCAAGCAGACCUUGAUUACUAGAUCCACCAUGGAGGCUGAGAUGGUAGCCUUAGAGUUAGCUGGUGGAGAAGCAGAUUGGCUUAGGGGUCUGUUAUCAGAUAUCCCCAUGAUGGAUAAGCCUAUUCCUGCUAUUCUAAUUAACUGUGAUAAUCAGGCGACUAUAGCAAAAGUGAAAAGUAAAAAUCACAACUCGAAGUCGUCUAGGCAUAUUGAGCUUCGAUAUAAAAUUUUAAGGAAGCUCACCUCUACUGGAGUUAUAACUUUAAGUUAUAUUAAAUCAGUGGAGAACUUGGCAGAUCAUCUGACCAAGGGCUUGUCGAGAGGACAAGUUCAAUAUGCUUCGAGGGGGAUGGGUUUAAAGCCUAUUUUUGAGUCACCGUCAGCGGCAACCCAACCUAUCUGACUGGAGAUCCCAAGAUGUAGGUUCAAUGGGACAAACAAGCUGACUGAGUGGUUGGUAGGAGCACCAGAUUUAAAGUGAACUCAGUUCACUACCCAUCUCUAUGGAGCAGGUGCUCAACUGCACUAGACAGGAGGAUGGCGUAAUGCCUUAAUGAUAUCAAGGCUAUUAUAGCAAGGUAUAGAGUUGCAGUAUACCCUUGGAGAUAUCACCGAUGUGAGUGUGACUGUGGGGCCGCAGUCAAAUAGAGAAUUAAGGCUUGUUCUCUAAGAGACACUCUCAAAACAAGAUACCUGUGCACGGCCGUAAUGCGCUACCCCGAUGGAACUCACAUGCAGGGUCAACUCUUAGUUGUUCAGUAUUUUAAAAUCUAUAUAUAAAGUCCAAGUUCAAGACUUUGUUCACUUCGGACCGGUGUGGAUGGCAAAAUACCAACUAGAUGAAGGUUCAAGUCCGAAAGACACCUUUCAUCGAAAGCUAAGUGUACUGAAUGCUCGUACUUUGAAUUUUUCAAAAUUUUGACAUUUUCAAAAUUAUCUCAAAAUUUUUUUUUUCCGAAAUUUCAAAAUGGUGGGGAAUGUAAGAGGUUUUGAAUUUGAAAUUUGAAACGGUUGUGAACCGUUUCUCCCCAUUUAAACUCAUUUAAAGCCAUCCUAAAUGCAAUACAAACGUUGGGCUCCAACGUUGAUCCAGAUGGGAGAGAGAGGAGAGCUCUCUCACACUCAUUAAUUCCUUCUCUUCACAUCCGUUAGAGGGCUUUUUUCCUUCUACGGUUUUCCUUGCUUUUUCUGAUUUUUUUUUGGCUUUCAAGUGGUGAGGGGAGAAGACAAGAGGGGUUAUCUUGUGGUUGGCCUCCUCUUCGCCGAUCACUCUUCAUCUUUUGGCUUUGAAUCAGUUUUGUACGAGCAUACAGAAAAAUCCCUGCGGAGUUCAAGAGAUUUUGUAGUACUGUGCACGUCUACAAAAUCAACGGUCCGUUGUAUCUUGGGAAGGGAUCGCCAGAAUCCGGUGCAUAUAAGGAGGCGAAUCUCUUUCAAAGACAGUGACUACACGCCUCGGACCGAUCUACAGGUAUUAUCUAUUUUAUUUUGGAUCUAAAGAAAACGACAUCAAAGAGGUACGCAUUGGAAUCAGUUGUUUCAGNNNNNNNNNNNNNNNNNNNNNNNNNNNNNNNNNNNNNNNNNGAUUACUACAACAUUUUUGAAAGAGAUUUGUUUCCGAAACACAAAGAUGGACAAAGUUAAGAACUCAUUAAACGAUAUCCUGAAACCCGAGUCAUUCGAUGGAAAGAAUUUUGUUAGAUGGCAAACAAAGAUGGAGUCUUGGUUGGACACAUUAGAUUUAUUUUAUGUGGUUUCAAACAAUCCUUCAACUAAGGACCCAAUGGAUCAUGAACCCGGCAGAUCAGCUGCUAAAUACAAAUUUGAUAAAGAUGAUCGUUUGUGUAAGAGUUUGAUACUUAGUUCACUAAAUGAUAACUUGUACGACAUCUACUCUAGAGCUGAGGGUACAGCUAAAACAUUGUGGGAUGAACUUGAGUCAAAUAUGGUAAAGAAACUGAAUCAGAAGAAAAGUUCAUCAUAGGAGAAUAUUUUUCUUACAAAAUGGUAGAUCAAAAAUCAGUAAUUGAUCAAGCACAUGAAGUCCAGAAUAUAGUGGCGAAGAUCAUCGCAAUGGGAAUUUCUAUAGAUGAGAGAAUUCAGGCGGCAACCCUUAUAGAAAAGCUUCCAUCUUCCUGGACAAAUUUUAAAGUCUCUUUGAAGCAUAAGAGACACACCCUCUCUUUGGAUCAAGUACUUGUGUCCCUUCAAAUAGAAGAAAAAUACAGGAAUAACCAUAAACAGGAUUUGGGUAUUGACUCAGAAGUUAAUGCAAAGGCAAACUUAGUAGAAACGAAGAAAACUAACUUCUGGAGAAAUAAACCCAAGAAACACUUUGAGAAGCCAAAACCAAAGAUUAAAAAGGAACAGAGCAAGAGAACAUGUUAUGUCUGUGGAAAACCAGGACACUUUGCCAAAUAGUGUAGACAUAGAAAGGACAAAGUCAAGAGGCAAAUAUGAUAACAGGUUCUGGUUCUACUGGAAUCGAGGACAGGUUAGUAAUCUCAAAACUUGAGUUAAAUCUGGCCUACAAUCCAACUGAAUGGUGGAUUGAUACAGGAGCUACUGUCCAUAUAUGUUCUGAUAUUUCCUCUUUUUCUUUCUACCAGGAGGUUAAAGGGAGAACUGUGACCAUGGGCAACUCCAGUGUUGCACAAGUGAUUGGAGAAGGAGAAGUAAAAUUGAAGUUCACAUCUGGAAAAAUUAUUACUCUCCACAACGUGCAACAUGUGCCAGAUGUUCGCAAGAAUCUUGUUAGUGGUUUUCUUUUGAGUCAAUUAGGCUUUAAAUUAGUGUUUGAAUCAAAUAAGGUUGUAAUUACCAAAGGUGGGACAUUUGUAGGGAGGGGUUAUGUUGCUGAUGGGUUAUUUAAAUUGAGUGUAUUACCAUGCUACAAUAUGAAUAAAAAUAUUUCUUCUCCACUUGUUAUGCAUAUCGACUCUUUAGAGAUGUGGCAUGGUAGACUUGGACACGUAAANNNNNNNNNNNNNNNNNNNNNNNNNAAUUUAGAUUUAAUUCCUAAAUAUAAUUUAGAGAAGAACAAAAAAUGUGAAAUUUGUGUUCAAGCUAAACAACCUAGGAAACCAUUUAAAUCAACAAGUAGAAGUUCUAACCUACUGGAUUUAAUACAUAGUGACAUUUGCGAAAUGAGCGGUAUUUUGACGAGAGGAGGAAAAAGAUACUUUAUUACCUUUAUAGAUGACAUGUCAAAAUACUGCUAUGUAUAUUUAAUAAAAACUAAGGAUGAAGCCUUAGAAAAAUUUAAAAUUUAUAAAUCAGAGGUUGAAAAUCAAACCCAGAAAACAAUAAAAAGACUCAGGUCAGAUAGAGGAGGAGAAUAUAGUUCAACAGAAUUUGGAAAAUUCUGUGAGGAACAUGGGAUUAUACAUGAGACUACUGCCCCUUAUUCUCCUCAGUCAAAUGGAGUUGCUGAAAGAAAAAAUAGAACUUUUCUUGACAUGAUUAACUCAAUGCUUAUAGUUCUGGUCUUUCCAACAAUUUACGGGGUGAAGCUCUAAUUUCAGCAUGUAAAAUACUUAAUCGUAUACCAUUUAAAGAUAACUAGAAAACACCAUAUGAAUUAUGGUGGGGUAGAAAACCUAGUCUAAAAUAUUUUAAAGUUUGGGUUGCCUUGCAAAAGUUAAAAUUAACUCUAGCAAGAUGACUAAACUGUCUUCUAAGACUUUCGAUGCAGCUUUCAUAGGAUAUGCGGAAAAUAGUAACGCAUACCGAUUCUUAGUAGUACGAUCAGAUGUACCUGACAUUACACCGAACACUAUUAAAGAAUCAAAUGAUGCAGUAUUUUUUGAGAAUGUGUUUCCUAUGAAAGAAAAGAGAAAGUUAGAAAUAGGAGAAUCCUCUAAAUCACAAAAUGAUAACACUGAAAUAGAACCCCAAGUUGAACUUAGAAGGAGCAAGAGGCCUAGAAUAGAGAAAAACCUAAGAGAUGACUUCUACACAUUCCUUGUUGAAGAUGAACCCUUGACUUAUGCUGAAGCAAUGAAAUCUAGUGAUGCACCUCUAUGGGAGGAAGCCAUUAAAAGUGAGAUGGAAUCAAUCCUUUCACACAAUACAUGGGUGUUAACCGACUUACCUCCAGGGUCUAGACCACUAGGAUGCAAAUUGGUCUUCAAAAGGAAACAAAAUCCUGGUGGAUCCACUGAAAAAUACAAAGCUAAAUUAGUUGCUAAAGGUUUUAGUCAAAAAGAAGGAAUGGACUAUUUUGACACUUAUUCUCCAGUCACUAGGAUAAAUACAAUUCGAGUGCUUAUAGCAUUGGCGGCAUCUUAUAAACUUGAAAUCCAUCAAAUGGAUGUGAAAACAGCCUUUCUUAAUGGCGAGUUAGAUGAAGAAAUUUAUAUGGAGCAGCCAGAAGGUUUUGUAGUUUCUAGUCAAGAGAAUAAAGUGUGUAAGCUAGUCAAAUCCUUAUAUGGAUUAAAACAAGCUCCUAGACAGUGGCAUGAAAAGUUUGACCAAGUCAUUUUAUCAUAUGUCUUUAAUAUUUGUGACUUCGAUAAAUGUGUAUAUUGGAAAAUAUUUGAUGGGUCUAUUAUUAUCCUAUGUUUAUACGUAGAUGACAUUUUAAUUUUUGGUAGUGAACAUGUCACAAUUUUUGAAGUGAAGAAAUACUUAAGUGAUAAUUUUGACAUGAAAGAUCUAGGAUUAGCUAAAGUAAUCUUAGGAAUCAAAAUUAGAAGGACACAAAAUGAGAUUGUUCUAAGUCAAUCUCACUAUGUUGAAAAGGUGUUAAAGAAAUUUGGGACGAAAAUUACAAGCCAGUUAGCACCCCAUAUGAUCCUAGCAUAAAAUUAAAGAAAAAUGGUGGGGAUAGUGUUUCCCAAUUAAAGUAUUCUCAAUUAAUUGGAAGUCUUAUGUAUUUAUCUACAUGUACAAGGCCAGAUAUCUCUUAUGCUGUAGGAAGACUAAGUAGAUACACUAGUAAUCCCGAUAAAACACAUUGGAAUGCAAUAGAAAGGCUUCUUAAAUAUUUGAAGGGUACUAUUAACUAUGGGAUAUACUAUUCUGGUUUUCCUACUGUACUAGAAGGGUAUAGUGAUGCUAACUGGAUUUCUGAUUCCGUAGACACAAAGGCCACUAGUGGAUUUGUCUUUACACUAGGUGGUGGUGCAGUCGCUUGGAAAUCUUCCAAGCAGACCUUGAUUACUAGAUCCACCAUGAAAGCUGAGAUGGUAGCCUUAGAGUUAGCUGGUGGAGAAGCAGAUUGGCUUAGGGGUCUGUUAUUAGAUAUCCCCAUGAUGGAUAAGCCUAUUCCUGCUAUUUUAAUUAACUGUGAUAAUCAAGCGACUAUAANNNNNNNNNNNNNNNNNNNNNNNNNNNNNNNNNNNNNNNNNNNNNNNNNNCUUCGAUAUAAAAUUUUAAGGAAGCUCACCUCUACUGGAGUUAUAACUUUAAGUUAUAUUAAAUCAGUGGAGAACUUGGCAGAUCAUCUGACCAAGGGCUUGUCGAGAGGACAAGUUCAAUAUGCUUGAGGGGGAUGGGUUUAAAGCCUAUUUUUAAGUCACCGUCGGUGGCAACCCAACCUAUCUGACUGGAGAUCCCAAGAUGUAGGUUCAAUGGGACAAACAAGCUGACUGAGUGGCUGGUAGGAGCACCAAAUUUAAAGUGAACAUGGUUCACUACCCAUCUNNNNNNNNNNNNNNNNNNNNNNNNNNNNNNNNNAGGAUAGCGUAAUGCCUUAAUGAUAUCAAGGCUAUUAUAGUAGGGUAUAGAGUUGCAGUAUACCCUUGGAGAUAUCACCGAUGUGAGUGUGACUGUGGGGCCGCAGUCAAAUAGAGAAUUAAGGCUUGUUCUCUAGGAGAUACUCACAAAAUAAGAUACCUGCGCACGGCCGUAAUGCGCUACCCCGAUGGAACUCACAUGCAGGGUCAACUCUUAGUUGUUCGGUAUUUUAAAAUCUAUACAUAAAGUCCAAGUUCAAGACUUUGUUCACUUCGGACCGGUGUGGAUGGCAAAAUACCAACUAGAAGAAGGUUCAAGUCCGGAAGACACCUUUUAUCGAAAGCUAAGUGUACUGAUUGCUCGUACUUUGAAUUUUCAGAAUUUCUAUUAUUUUCAAAAUUAUUUUAAAUUUUUAAAAUUUCAAAAAUGGUGGGGAAAUGUAAGAAGUUUUUGAAAUUUGAGAAGAACGAUUACGAAACCGUCUCUCAUUUCUUACGUUUUGAAA
rnacentral:lncRNA from 1 species